rnacentral:tRNA from 1 species
UGGCUCUAUACUUUAUAAUAAAAGAUUUGAUUUGCAAUCAAAAAUUGAGUACAACUCUAGAACCAA